UGCGCAGGCGGUUACGUAAGUCAGAUGUGAAAUCCCCGGGCUUAACCUGGGAAUUGCGUUUGAAACUAUGUGACUAGAGUGCAGUAGAGGGAGGUGGAAUUCCAUGUGUAGCAGUGAAAUGCGUAGAUAUAUGGAGGAACAUCGAUGGCGAAGGCAGCCUCCUGGACUGACACUGACGCUCAUGCACGAAAGCGUGGGGAGCAAACAG
rnacentral:rRNA from 1 species